UUGCAGUUCUGGCAUGUUACGUUUUUGUGCCUUUAUUUUGAAGAGCCCACUCUUAUUCUGUUACUUCCUUUAUUGCUGAUACUUGACUUCCUGCUGCCGUUCUGUCUGACUUCAACAGCAUACUCACGUUACUCCAGGACUGGUAAAACAUGCUGACAAAGAUAUAUUUCUCAUAUUCUGUGUGAACAUUUGUGAGAGGUUAUUUUAUUGUGCCUCGUGUUUGUGUUGUUUAUAUGUCACAUUUAAGGAGAGUCACUCCGAGCUGUGUGUGGAAGCUAAGCUAACUAGCGGAGCAAACUUAGCGCCCUUGGAAGCGGAAGGAGUUUUCACGGUGUCAAAAUUGUGAGGAGAAAAGGAGGAGAGAAUUAAAGUUGCACCAGUCGAAGCUCUCUGCAUCUUGUGUCAUUAAUCCAAGUGGGCCGCUACAGUGAAAACUCCCCGGCUGCAACCAGUGACAACUUCUGGCUGCAACAGACCUGCCAUCCCUGCAGAGAAGCUGACGCCAUCUCAUCCGAGAUCCAGCUACCAACCUGUUACCAGCCAACUGACUCCAUUUGCACCCACAUCCUGCACAGGCAAGAUUAAAAGGACAGCACGCUAAAGGAAUUACCUGAAGUUCCUCUGGUGGACAGGCGGAGAUUUGGAGAAGGAACCACAGGAGUACAGGAUGGCGGUUCAUCUCUUCGGAGCCGCUUCGUCUCCAGGAUGUGCCAAUUUUGGUUUAAAGCAUCUAGCACGACAACACAAGGCUAGCUAUCCCCUAGCAUCAAUAUUUGUGGAGAAACAUU